CCCGCACAAGCGGUGGAGCAUGUGGUUUAAUUCGACGCAACGCGAAGAACCUUACCUGGGCUUGACAUCCCUGGAAUCCCCUGGAAACAGGGGAGUGCCCUUCGGGGAGCCAGGAGACAGGUGCUGCAUGGCUGUCGUCAGCUCGUGUCGUGAGAUGUUGGGUUAAGUCCCGCAACGAGCGCAACCCUUGUCUUUAAUUGCCAUCAUUCAGUUGGGCACUUUAAAGAGACUGCCGGUGUUAAACCGGAGGAAGGUGGGGAUGACGUCAAGUCCUCAUGGCCUUUAUGACCAGGGCUACACACGUACUACAAUGGCCGGUACAAAGGGCAGCGACACAGCGAUGUGAAGCGAAUCCCGAAAAGCCGGUCUCAGUCCGGAUUGGAGUCUGCAACUCGACUCCAUGAAGUUGGAAUCGCUAGUAAUCGCGGAUCAGCACGCCCGCGGUCGAAUACGUUCCGGGCCUU
rnacentral:rRNA from 1 species